rnacentral:rRNA from 1 species
GGACACCGGCUUCGGGUGUUACCGACUUUCGUGACUUUGACGNGCGGUGUGUACAAGGCCCGGGAACGUAUUCACCGCAGCGUUGCUGAUCUGCGAUUACUAGCGACUCCGACUUCACGUAGUCGANNNGCAGACUACGAUCCGAACUGAGACUGGCUUUAAGGGAUUCGCUUACCCUCACGGGUUCGCCUCUCUCUGUACCAGCCAUUGUAGCAUGCGUGAAGCCCAAGACAUAAAGGGCAUGAUGAUUUGACGUCAUCCCCACCUUCCUCCGAGUUGACCCCGGCAGUCUCCUAUGAGUUCCCACCAUCACGUGCUGGCAACAUAGAACGAGGGUUGCGCUCGUUGCGGGACUUAACCCAACAUCUCACGACACGAGCUGACGACAACCAUGCACCACCUGUACACCAGCUCCAAAGAGAAGAACUGUUUCCAGAACGGUCCAGUGUAUGUCAAGCCUUGGUAAGGUUCUUCGCGUUGCAUCGAAUUAAUCCGCAUGCUCCGCCGCUUGUGCGGGCCCCCGUCAAUUCCUUUGAGUUUUAGCCUUGCGACCGUACUCCCCAGGCGGGGCACUUAAUGCGUUAGCUACGGCGCGGAGAACGUGGAAUGUCCCCCACACCUAGUGCCCAACGUUUACGGCAUGGACUACCAGGGUAUCUAAUCCUGUUCGCUCCCCAUGCUUUCGCUCCUCAGUGUCAGUUACAGCCCAGAGUCCCGCCUUCGCCACCGGUGUUCCUCCUGAUAUCUGCGCAUUUCACCGCUACACCAGGAAUUCCAGACUCCCCUACUGCACUCUAGUCAGCCCGUACCCACUGCACGCGCAACGUUAAGCGUUGCGUUUCCACAGCAGACGUGACCAACCACCUACGAGCUCUUUACGCCCAAUAAUUCCGGACAACGCUCGUACCCUACGUAUUACCGCGGCUGCUGGCACGUAGUUAGCCGGUACUUCUUCUGCAGGUACCGUCACUUUCGCUUCUUCCCUGCUGAAAGCGGUUUACAACCCNGAAGGCCGUCAUCCCGCA